rnacentral:rRNA from 1 species
GAUGAAGAACGCAGCGAAAUGCGAUAAGUAAUGUGAAUUGCAGAAUUCAGUGAAUCAUCGAAUCUUUGAACGCACCUUGCGCUCCUUGGUAUUCCGAGGAGCAUGCCUGUUUGAGUGUCAUUAAAUUCUCAACCUCACCAGUUUUGUCAUGAGACUUUGUA